UGACAGUACUCCUACGGGAGGCAGCAGUGGGAAUAUUGCACAAUGGGCGCAAGCCUGAUGCAGCAACGCCGCGUGAGCGAUGAAGGCCUUCGGGUCGUAAAGCUCUGUCCUCAAGGAAGAAUAAAUGACGGUACUUGAGGAGGAAGCCCCGGCUAACUACGUGCCAGCAGCCGCGGUAAUACGGAGGGUGCGAGCGUUAAUCGGAAUUACUGGGCGUAAAGCGCAUGCAGGUGGUUUGUUAAGUCAGAUGUGAAAGCCCCGGGGCUCAACCUCGGAACUGCAUUUGAAACUGGCAGACUAGAGUACUGUAGAGGGGGUAGAAUUUCAGGUGUAGCGGUGAAAUGCGUAGAGAUCUGAAGGAAUACCGGUGGCGAAGGCGGCCCCCUGGACAGAUACUGACACUCAGAUGCGAAAGCGUGGGGAGCAAACAGGAUUAGAUACCCUGGUAG
rnacentral:rRNA from 1 species